rnacentral:rRNA from 1 species
UACGUAGGGGACAAGCGUUGUCCGGAUUUAUUGGGCGUAAAGAGCGUGUAGGCGGUUAGGUAGGUCCGUUGUGAAAACUCGAGGCUCAACCUCGAGACGCCGAUGGAAACCCCCUAACUAGAGUCCGGAAGAGGAGAGUGGAAUUCCUGGUGUAGCGGUGAAAUGCGCAGAUAUCAGGAAGAACACCCGUGGCUAAGGCGGCUCUCUAGUACGGUACUGACGCUGAGACGCGAAAGCGUGGGGAGCGAACAGG